ensembl:lincRNA
AUUGGUCCAGAUCCUGCGCGCGGGCGCGCAAUCUGCUCCAGGCUCCGGGGAAACUUUGGGGCUGCUGGUUGGCAACAGUGGACUAAUGUCCUCAUCACGAAGGCUGCCGGCUGCAAGAGGAGAAGGGGAACCUCUGAACUAAAGGUGUUCAAGAAGCUGGUCUUCCUCAUUUGGUGCUGAAACUCGGGAACUUCGGAACGGAAGGAACGUCGCUUGCCUCCAAAAGCCGUGGAUAGACGCACCUUCCCCUUGAUGGUUGCCAUACAGGUGUGUAGGCCAUGGCGAAAACCAAGAUGGAAAAUUAAGAAAACAGAUGUCUCAUCUUUCCCUUCAGUGCCACCUCCAGGAACCUCGAAUGAUAACUUCUAUGACAGUACAUGAUCGAAUGCAGCUGAUUGCCCUGUUGAUUAGCAUUAUCUUGAUGUUACAUCGAGGCUGCUCUGCAGAAGUUUAUUGGGCGUAUGUUCCAAAUCCAACUAUAAUUCAUCCUGUCACUUGGGAUGAGACUGUAGAUAUUCCUGUUUAUGUCAAUCAAACCAAAUAUUUAGGAGAGUAUUCUGAUGGUCAUAUAUUACAAUUUCAUGCCUUUUUAAAUUAUUCUGGUAAAUAUGAAGGAUCUUUGUUGUGUUUUGGCAAGAACUUGACUGAAAAUUGUGAACAAGUUAACAUAGAAGAUGAUGGGACAAUAAUUUUAAUGCAGGCAUACAUUGGGCCCUGGACUUUCAUUAUCUGAUAUUAAAUGAUACUAGAAGAAGCCCCGGAUGUCCUCCACAAUGGAUUCCUGUAUAGAGGACUGUUUUGCCCCCGAAAUUGGAUUUUUCUCCCUUUUGCUCUAAUACCACCUUGUGUGAUUGAAAUAUUUUGGAUUAUACUAAUCAUCAUCCUAUUAAUUUGGUUUAUGGGAUUUGGACAAAAAAUAAUGAAACUUAUUUUUCUUCAUUGUGGAAAGCCAUUGCAGCCCUUGGGAUGAUAAGAGUUAAGAGAAUUAACAGCACCUGGAUUCCUUUCGGGAACAUCAUGGCAUUUCAGGAUGAACAAAAUAAGACUGAAAUGUUUGUACGUGAGUGUGUUUCAGAACCAUAUGCCUUUUUGAGUGGGAAUUUAUUGAUAGAUAAUAAUACUGUUAAUUGUAGUAAUUGUCAAAUAACUAAUUGUGUUAAUUCUACUUUAAAUAAUUUUUGAUUGUGAAGCAACCUGAUUAUGUGUAUUUACUAGUUAAUUUAACUAAGGAUUGGUAUGAUGAUAAAGGCCUAGCAAUUCUUGAGCAUACAACCACAGAAUUGUUGUUACGAUCUAAAAGGGUCAUAGGCAUGAUUAUAGCAGAAAUUGCUUCUGUGUCCUUAGUACAAAAUAUACAUACUGCAGCAUAUGUUAAUAGCUUGGCUAUUAAUGUUACAAAAGCCUUAUAUGCUCAAGAAGAAUGGGAUGAAAAAAAAUUGAAAUGAGAGUGAAUUCUUUAAAGGAUACAGUUGAUUUAUUGGGUCGAUUCGACAACUGCAGAUUAUGGCUACCCGAGAAUAACUCAUUUGUCAUGCUGAAUUUAAGACCAUUUUUGUUACCCCAGUUCCAUAUGAUGAUACUAAGUUCUCAUUGGAUAAGAUACAAAACCAUUUACAAGGAGUAUGGGAUAAUUCUAAUACGUCCCUUGAUUUAAAUGAGUUAAAAAAACAUAUUCAAGAUAUUAUGAACACUCCACAAAUUGAUAUUAGCAUUGAGGAACAGACUAAAACCUUUGUUGAUGCUCUUAAAUCUGCUUUUCCAUCCUUUACAUCUUUUAAAAAUUGGAUAAUUGGUGUUAUAAUUAUGGCAGGAUUAUUAAUAAUGGGAUGUAUUUUAUUUCCCUAUUUAAUUUGUGGGGCAGUGCAACAGACUGAUAAAAGCUUGAUUGAAGUGAAGAAGUUAAAACUUACUGUGGAAAAGG